GAUGAACGCUGGCGGCGUGCCUAAUACAUGCAAGUCGAGCGAACGGACGAGAAGCUUGCUUCUCUGAUGUUAGCGGCGGACGGGUGAGUAACACGUGGAUAACCUACCUAUAAGACUGGGAUAACGUCGGGAAACCGGAGCUAAUACCGGAUAAUAUUUUGAACCGCAUGGUGCAAAAGUGAAAGACGGUCUUGCUGUCACUUAUAGAUGGAUCCGCGCUGCAUUAGCUAGUUGGUAAGGUAACGGCUUACCAAGGCAACGAUGCAUAGCCGACCUGAGAGGGUGAUCGGCCACACUGGAACUGAGACACGGUCCCGACUCCUACGGGAGGGAGCAGUAGGGAAUUUUCCGCAAUGGGCGAGAGCCUGACGGAGCAACGCCGCGUGAGUGAUGAAGGUCUUCGGAUCGUAAAACUCUGUUAUUAGGGAAGAACAUAUGUGUAAGUAACUGUGCACAUCUUGACGGUACCUAAUCAGAAAGCCACGGCUAACUACGUG
rnacentral:rRNA from 1 species